CAUUAUUCCCAUCAUUUCCUUGCCUUUCUCAUUUAUGCAUCGAUAAUUGUCCUAUGACGUAAGAGGUGUGCCUCUUUACGUCGUUUGACAAUUGAUGAGUGUCCUCGCUUGGAGGAAAGAUGUGAACAGAGAAUGGGAGAGGAUUGGCCAAAGACUGCUCACGUCCCAAUUAACUUUCAAAAUGGCGGAGAUGGUAAUCGUAUAGAGUGGAGCGCAAGCCAAACUUGCCAAAUUUAUCAGGAACAAUUGAAGGUUUUGCGAAUAGACACUUCUUCAAACCUUGCCGACAAUCAGAUUUGCUGAGAAGAAUGAGCUUCGUGAUGAGAAGCAGAGGCUCAAGGCUGGCAAAGAGAAGUUGGAGGAGCAAGUGAAAGCAAUGAGUGCUCAACCAGACUCCCUGCCUCAUCCCUCUGCAAUGUUUGGUACAUUUUCUGCUCAAGCUGAUGGUUGUCCCAACAUGGCAAUUCAUGGCACCUGCUGUAGUUGACACAUCACAGGAUCAUGUAUUACGCAAUUCAGGUAUAUGGAUAUUGCGGUUGGAAAACCAAAUUUGGCAACUAUGGUGCUCUUGGAAUAGCAUUUUAAGCAUAGGGCUUGUAAUGAUCUUCUGAAAGAUCAUAAGGAUUUGAAAGUUGAAGUGGUUGGAUGCUUGACAGGGGGAGGAUCUUGAGGUUCUUGGGAAGAGGAUCUUGAGGUUUAUCAUUCUGUAUUCAUCAUCUUUCUUUCAAGUUUUGUUCUAUGGAUUCCAUUCCUCUAUGCCCCAUGCCCCCAUGGUUCUACUUCCUCUUGGAACUUGGCUCGAGAUUGUGCUUUUUCUACUCAACUUACUCCCUGAUUGAAAAUGUCUUCAUUUGGCAACAGAGGCCCAGAGAGCUCUAAAGGGAAGCUAUGUUUUCCCCCCUAAAGGAAACCUUGGGGCCGAGCCAGAGCUUGAAAUGGGUGGCCCCCUCAAGAGUCGUUUGGGAAAGCUAGGUAAGAGAUAGUUGGGCUGCACAGUUGUUAAUCAGUUGGGCUUUAGUUGUUAGUUAGUUGGGCUGGACAGUACGUUGUUAAUCAGUUGGGCUUGAUAGCUAGAAUCAAUUGGGCUUGAUAGCUUGGGCUUGAUAAAUGGUAUAUAAACCAAAAGUCAGUAGAAGUCCAUUAUCGAAGAGCUUGUACUUUCUGGAAUCUGUAGUUUGUAGUUCUUGAUAGCUUGUAGUUGAUAUUUUAGCCUAGUCUUG